rnacentral:rRNA from 1 species
GAUGAACGCUGGCGGCGUGCCUAAUACAUGCAAGUAGAACGCUGAAGGAAGAAGCUUGCUCUUUCCGGAUGAGUUGCGAACGGGUGAGUAACGCGUAGGUAACCUGCCUGGUAGCGGGGGAUAACUAUUGGAAACGAUAGCUAAUACCGCAUAACAGUAGAUGUUGCAUGAUAUCUACUUAAAAGGUGCAAUUGCACCACUACCAGAUGGACCUGCGUUGUAUUAGCUAGUUGGUGAGGUAACGGCUCACCAAGGCGACGAUACAUAGCCGACCUGAGAGGGUGAUCGGCCACACUGGGACUGAGACACGGCCCAGACUCCUACGGGGGGCAGCAGUAGGGAAUCUUCGGCAAUGGGCGGAAGUCUGACCGAGCAACGCCGCGUGAGUGAAGAAGGUUUUCGGAUCGUAAAGCUCUGUUGUAAGAGAAGAACGAGUGUGAGAGUGGAAAGUUCACACUGUGACGGUAUCUUACCAGAAAGGGACGGCUAACUACGUG